AAAAAACAAUUGAAAAAUUAUUUGUGGAUGUCUAAUCUAUUUAAUUUUUGGAAGUCUAAACUUAAAAAAGCAUUGCUAUUUCCAAAUGUGAAAACAUACAAGAUCAAUUUAUGAACUAAUAUAUUUUAGUAAUAUUAAUCACACCAAGGAAUUUAAUUCCUAACUUUCUUAGUAAUGACGAAUGAAAAGAAAAUCCAAACUCUGCCUGCUGGCGCCGCUGCAUAAGGCGGCCUCGUGCUACCUUCGGCGCACCAGGCAUAAGAUUGUUUAACGAUCAAAAAUCGAUUUCAUUUAAUAAUAAAAGUCCUGGCCCGUUAGGACUAAUAAGUGGAUUGGAGCCCUGUCUAAUUAAUUCCUAUAGAAGGAUAGAUCAGAACCGAACCCCCAUUAAUCAAGGAAGGAUUCAGAGUAGCAAAAUUAAAUAGUGAUAGUGAAUAGUACUGAGAAGGAACGAUUAAUUCAACCUAAUUGAAAAUUGAAUUUAAACAGAUAAUUUUGUUCCAAAAGAAAUAUUUGAUUUCAAUUGGAUACCUUUUGCAUCAUGGGUCAGCAAGUUAAUAAUGAUAAACAAGUAUAAAGCUAUAUGAAAAUAUUAAAGUUUAGUUUAGUUUAUAUUAUUAGACCCGAAACUAAUCGAACCAGUCAUUAUCAGGGUAAAUAGACCGAACUUGUGAUUGUUGCAAUAAUCUAAGAUGAAUAAUGAUUAGAGGUGAAAUUCCUAACGAGAUUAGAGAUAGCUGGUUUGCUAGGAAAACUAUUUUAGUAGUCUUAUUAUAUUUCUAUUGAUAUUCCUACUGCGCUAAGCGCUAAUCUGUUCCCAGUUUCAAUUGAGAACGUCCACCGGCGAAGCAGACCUAUUAAUAGGAGGCUCGUCCAUAUUUCCACUCUAGGAGCCCUAAGGGGUCUUCUAAUCGUGGGGACUGAGGACGGGAUUCAGGCUUCAAUGCCCUCAUCCUAAUGGAAUUUACCGUUAGGGGCAGGCUAAAAAGGACUGGCUAAAAAGGAGAGAAAUUAACAAGACAGGGUAGAGCCUGUGUAAUUAAUUAGUAGGAGCCAAAUGCACUGAUAGAUGUACAGUACCGGUAUAAUCCCGAUCUAGAAAUGUUUAUCAUCUCUAAUUCCUAAAGUGUAUAUAAUAAGUCAGAAAAUGAGUGAUAAGAUUCAUAUUCGAGAGAGAAACAACUCUAUCUAUAGGAUCAAGUUUCUAAAUGAAAGUUAAGUGAAUAGAAAAUGUUGAAUUUGAUUCCCCUCCGGUUCAAUUGAUUCACCAACAAUUCCGGUGUUUCUCUAAACCGAACGGAACCUAACCUUUCUUUUGGGUGGGCUUGGUAGCGGCCAUCCCUAUUUUAAUGCGUAACAGCAAAAAAGAAUUAGAAAUUUAAUAUUGUAAAUGUACGAAUCAAAAACUUUCUACUUUAACCAUAGAACCACCUUUAGGUGGUUGGUACUAGCAUAAAAAAAGUCUAACUUUGAAAGGAGUUCCCAGACUGUAACAAUUUGGAAGCCCAAAGCAAAGUUUAAUAAUACUUUUUUAAGAGAAUGCUGACAUGAGUAACGUAAAAAAAGAGUUAAUCCAAUCUCUUUGAUCAUAAAUCCAAGGUUUUCAAGAUAUAUACUUGCAAUGUGAUGAGUCCAUUGUAUAAAAUUAUUUAAAAAAUUGAGUUAUUCGGUUUCUAAGAUUUAAUUAUCGAUGAAUAAAGCUUUGAAUCUAAUAUAAUAAAAAUGAAAUCAAUUCCGAUUCCAAAUCAGGAUUAGGAUUAAAUUAAUAUCAGAAGCAAAGCAAUGAUGCCAAAUCAGGAAAUUAUUAUUGGUUAUGGCUAUUUUAACCGAACGAACCGUACUGAUAACCGACACUGGUGGAUUUCAAGCUUAGCAAUACCUUUUCUAAGCUAAUGAUUUGGAGUUAACUAUUUAGAAGGAACUCGGCAAAUUAGGAGUGCGACUGUGACUUCGAACAUAGGUCUUAGCAAACUUAAAUAGGAUGUAUUAGGACCGGUACCUGCCCGGUGCCAGCAAGCUAAAAAUUGCCCAACUCAGUAGGGUGAUUCGAAACUCUGGUAAACGGCAGCUGUAACUCUGACGGUUCUAAGGUAGCGAAAUUCCUCGGCUAUUAAUUGUAGUCCCGCAUGAAUGGUGAAACGACGCUCCGACUGUCUCCUAAAUAGACUCCGUGAAGUUACAAUUUUCGUGCAGAUGCGAAAAAUCCUCAGCAAGACGAGAAGACCCUAUGAAGCUUUACUGAUAUGAAAUUUCUGAAUUAAUUUUCUUAGUCAGUUUCGCUGGGGCGGCGACCUCCAAAAUAGUAACGGAGUGUCAACAAUGGCAUGAUUAAAUUUAACGGAUGAAACAUGCUUAAAAAAUUGAGUCACAACUCUGUUUUGAAUAAUAAAAAUCUCCAAUUUUUCUUGUUUGUCGUAGUGAUCCGCUAAUUUAAUUAGCGCUUAAGGAAUUCAAGCUACUCUAGGGAUAACAGGCUAGUCUUCAAAUUCGGUAUCUACGGAUUUGAAGGAUCGGCACCUCGAUGUCGACUCUACCUAUCCUAGGGCUGUAAGCGGUCCUAAGGGUGCGACUGUUCUUCGCAUAAAAGGUAACGUGAGUUGGGUUUAUACCGCGGUGACGCAGGUAGGAUUCUAUCUACUGAGGAAUAAAAAAAGAAAUGACUAGCUCUAGUACGAGAGGACUGAGUGGGUUGAACCAAUGAUUCAAAUUCCAAAAUUUAGUUAUGUUCAUAAUUGUGAAUUCCUGAAUUCAUCUAAGGAAGAAACUUAAUUUGCUUUUUUAUAUUAAAUAAGAAUCAAUUGAAGAUUGAUUUGGUAUUUUUGAUGUGGAUUAUGAAUUGAAUCCAAAACAGGCCUCAAUAUCUCUAAUCCCCUAAUAUCAAUAGAU
rnacentral:rRNA from 1 species